rnacentral:rRNA from 1 species
AUUGAACGCUGGCGGCAGGCCUAACACAUGCAAGUCGAACGAGUGGCGGACGGGUGAGUAAUGUCUGGGAAACUGCCUGAUGGAGGGGGAUAACUACUGGAAACGGUAGAUAAUACCGCAUACCAUCAGAUGGGGCCAGAGGGGAUUAGCUAGUUGGUGGGGUAAAGGCUCACCAAGGCGACGAUCCCUAGCUGGUCUGCGAGGAUGACCAGCCACACGGGAACUGAGACACGGUCCAGACUCCUACGGGAGGCAGCAGUGGGGAAUAUUUCACAAUGGGCGAAAGCCUGAUGCAGCCAUGCCGCGUGUAUGAAGAAGGCCUUCGGGUUGUAAAGUACUUUCAGCGGGGAGGCGUUACCCGCAGAAGAAGCACCGGCUAACUCCGUGCCAGCAGCCGCGGUAAUAC